rnacentral:rRNA from 1 species
UACGUAGGGUGCGAGCGUUAAUCGGAAUUACUGGGCGUAAAGUGUGCGCAGGCGGUUUUGUAAGCCAGAUGUGAAAUCCCCGGGCUUAACCUGGGAAUGGCAUUUGGGACUGCAAGGCUCGAGUGCGGCAGAGGAGACUGGAAUUCCUGGUGUAGCAGUGAAAUGCGUAGAUAUCAGGAGGAACACCGAUGGCGAAGGCAGGUCUCUGGGCUGACACUGACGCUCAUGCACGAAAGCGUGGGGAGCAAACAGG